rnacentral:snRNA from 1 species
AUCGCUUCUCGGCCUUUUGGCUAAGAUCAAGUGUAGUAUCUGUUCUUAUCAGUUUAACAUCUGAUACGUCCUCUAUCCGAAGACAAUAUAUUAAAUGGAUUUUUGGAGCAGGGAGAUGGAAUAGGAGCUUGCUCCGUCCACUGCGCACAUCGACCUGGUACUGCAGUACUUCCAGGAAUGGUAAAAAAAUU